rnacentral:sRNA from 1 species
GCGAUGCCUAUUCUCCAUGCAAAUCUCCUGGUUUUUUAUUUGAAUGAGGGAUUUUGGCCACGCCUCCUGCCUUGAAAAAUGAGGCCCGUCUGCCGUGGUGGCGCUGCGGUCUUUUCAAUCGCGUCCGGAGGUGAAUUUUUUUCCGGUUGCCUCUUUUUUAAUCCUCGAGGUGUUUUUUUGUUUUGUUUUGUUUUUGCAUGGAGAUUCCUCAGUAGCCACCCCUCCAUGAAACUUGAGAAAAGAAGUAGAUUCAUGCAAUUUAGUUCAGUCUAGCAUUGAACUUGCCACGUAGCCCACACAGGUCUGGAAUUUGAAAUCAGUCGGCCUCAACCUCUCAAGUGUUGCUUACAGGUAUCACUUAAAGUUCACUAAACUAAUUGUAUUAAUCACAAGAGGUGGAGAUAAACAUCUUUGGGGGGGGGUAAUCUGUAACAGAGCAAGUACUACCAGUCAUACCCUCACACCUCAUAAACUCACGUAUCUCUGAAAUACAGAUAAUAAUUACUGUUCCACCAAACAAUUACUGACUCAGACUGUAGAAAAGAUCCUAAAUAUGCUUUUUGUAUAUCAGUAAGGGCCAGGAAAAAAAUGGGUGGGAAAUUUAAUCCCUUAAACUUAAUUUCUCCCUUAAAGUAUUUAUUCAAUAGUAAUUUAAGCAAUCACUGUGUUCCAAAACUUAAGUAGCUGUCAGGGCUGAGGAAAUCUAUACUCCCAUAGGCAGAUGUGGCUCAACUCCCAGCGGCACUCAGGGAGGAUGAGGGAGAUCUUGAGAGAACAAGGACAACCUGGGGCCAUGGGCUCCCAGAUCAUCUGGAGCUUGAGACUCUUCUCUCCAAAGAAGCUCACAGCUUUAAUUACUGUCCUGUACUUGACUCUUCAACAAAGGACAUUAAACAGGCAAACCCAAGGGAUUUAAAAUUGAAGAAGCAACCCACUGGGGACAUGAAAUAUGGUACAGUAUCCAGAAUCUUUCCAGUGCCAGCCCAUCCACAAGCUAGGCAAGGGCUCUGCUAUUAGGUGAUAGCAUCAACCCAGAAUUGCCAGAACCAUGAGAUGAACACAUCACCCCCCUCCUCCCAAAUUCUGUUCAUACCCUGUAAUCCAUAUGGCUUAAAUGUGGUGGGAUUUGUGAUCCCAGCACUCCCGAAGGCAAGGGCAUGAAAAUCCAUGACUUCAAAGCCAGCCUGGUUUACAGAGCAAGUUCUAGGAUACCCAGGGCUACAUAGAGAAACCAUGUUUCAAAAAAAAAAAAAAAAAAGAGAGAGAGAGAGAAAGGGAAAGGUGUAAUUAAGACGUAAUUAAGAUCCUAGAUUGAUUUAGAGUUGACAGGGAGAAUAUCUUGAAGUAGACUUGACUUAAUCUAACAAGAGACCUUAAAAAGAGAGACACCCAGCUAGUGUGAGUUUAAGCCAGCCUGGUCUACAGAGUGAGUUCUAAGACAGCCUUGAUUACACAGAGAAACUCUGACUCANAACAAAUGAAAAGGAAAGAGGAGGAAGGAAAGAAAGAGGAAAAGAAAGAAAACAUGAGCUCCCAUGUUCCUGCUCUAGCCCCAGGAUUCCUGUGACAAACCUGGACAUGUUGAUUGGGGCGGAUUGGAAAGACUUUGGAAUAGAGCCUCUGAGCGAUGAGAAACCAGUGAGCUGUUAUGGAGAAGCUAGAGAAAUAAGAAUGGGGCGAGCAGUGCAGAUGAUGGAGGCCUCGCUUGUAAAGUUUCUUCAGAGGGAAGCAGAGACUAUCAGGCCAUUCGUGUGAAAUAUCUGUGGUGUUCGGUGAGCUGGAGCUGAAGAACCGUCUGGGAUUAAGAAGAGACCAGCAUCAUUGAGGUGAAAUCUUUUGGGAAGUGUUUCCUUACUGUUUCAGAGGUGACCAAGAUUGUGCUGCCUCAUGCUGUCAGCCGAACUUGGUAGUUUAAAAGUCACCCAGGUGAGCCUUUAUGUAGGUCUGGGCGAAUCAAACGUAGGUUCUCCAGAAGAGCAAACAGUUUUAAACAACUGGGACAACCAGUGAACCAUCUUUCCCUACAUGUGCCUACUUUACUUCUGCUUAGUGAUGGAUCUUCUGAGACCAGAUCAUGUGCACUAGCCUACCCUGUAUAACAUCAAAAUUCAUGGUUUCAGCAAGAUUGGAUUUCACUGGUGGAGCCCAAGUAGCUCCAAGAAAACCUGGCCCUGCAGAUGCAGGCCAGCUAUGGGGUGAAGGUGCCUCUAAGACUGACUUCUGUGGGCCUCAGUCUUUCCCUGAGAGGAGAAGAGGCAGUGCUGGUCCAGAUGAGUGCAAAGAGAGGGGAAAAAGACAAACCAACCUUAUCAAAAACUCAACAGCCUCAGCACCUUGAACUGCUUACAUCUGAACAAAAAGAGCUUGAGCAAGAAACCACAGAAGUCGUGGGACAAGUCCUGUGGUCUGAAUAUAGAUUUCUGGUCUGCAGGAAGCCCCGAGGCUCUGGGUUCUUCCUGGGCUUCGGCAGGAUAGUAGGCUACAGGGUCAGUCUUGGCUGUUUCACUGGGUGAUUGUAUAAAAAGAGGAAGUGAACAACCGAAAAGAAGUCUACAGGGGAUUUGUAAAUUUCCAGGGUUUUUUUUCUUUGUGUGUGUGGAGGGGUGAUGUUUAAAUAAUAAAUGUAUGUUCUGAGCCUGGAGCACACACAAAUGCCUCAGUACCUAAAACUGAUUAAGAGGGGCUUACUUUUUAGUUUUUCAAUUGUACUGUUAUGACCAAUUUUAUGAAGGCUUCCACUACAUUUUCUCAUUUGUGGUUUUAGUUUCAGUGUGUGUUUGCUUAUGUCCUUAAUCUGCUUUGAAGGUAUUUUGUUUUAUUUUCUACCAUUAAGUCAUGUGCCCAGAACUCUCUUACUUUCUAUUAUUUUUAUUUACUUGACCUUUGUUUUUUUCUUUUUAAAUUUUUUGCCACAAGGCCUAAAAACUAUCUAAGACGGCUUUAACUCAGUGAGGCCCAGACAGCUUUGGAUUUGAAAUCCCCAGCCUCCUGGGUGUCUGGGAUUGUAAGCAUGGGCCAGCAGUCCUGGUGAGUUGGAUUUUUUUUGUACAUAGUAUAAGGAGUUUGAACCGUGUACUCUGCUUCUAGAUCCCAGUUUUCCAUGGCUUGUAAUAGAACUAUAUUGCCACUUUCCACAGUGAGCUGCCAUUUUAUUACUGACACUGUCACUAUUCUUUUAUAUUUAGACAGAUCAGAGAACAAAUGUAAAAUCUCAUCAUCACGACUCAGGACCCACUUCCUGAACCACUGAAAGGUUUAAAUAAAGUUAACCAUAGGUCAAAAGGUGGAGCAAGAAACCAGUUGAUGGAGUGAACGUAGGAAAAAAAGUAAAGAGGAGUCAGGACGAUGAAGAGAGAGAUGCACAGGAAAUGAAAGGGAAGGACGUGCAGUUUGAGGGAUUUUUGAGACAGAGAACUGCCUUUCGGGAUGUUGGCUGAGGAAGAAGGUCAGCUGGCUGGCUCAACCUGCCUGAUUUCUUCUAGCACCUCGGACUACCAGGCCAGGGGUGGCCCAGCCCGCCAUGAGCUGGGCUCUCCCUCAUCAAUCAAGAAGAUGUUCCACAGGCCAAUAUGGUGGGCAUUUCGUCACUUGAAGUUCCCUUUUUACAAGUGUUCUGACUUGUGUCAAGUUGACAUAAAAUUAGUCAGCACACCACUCAAUGUGUUCUUGUAAACAUUAGGUAUUCGCCCCGUGUGGCCACACAUUGUAAUCCCAGCACUCAGGAGGCUCCAGCAAGAACAAGCCCAAGAUCCUGCGGACCUAAUUAAUGUAAUGUGUCUUGACAAUGGAUAUCUGUUUAUGAUAUCAAAAUACCUAGGAUACCUACAAUGCUUGUGGUCUGCCCUCCCCUGACCCCGGCCUAUACCAUCUUCAGUCUCCACAGCAGCUGAAGCCACCAUGUGCCAUCGGGGCCAGUCCUUCCUGUCAACACCUGAACGAUAGACUCAUAAAUAUAGACUCUGCCUAUAUCACUUCAACACUGUCUUACUGCACCUAGGAACUAAGUUAUGAUUUCCACAUUUUUCGGUCACUUUGUACCUUUCUAGUAUUGAAAAAACUCCUCUAAAUACCUGUAUUUACUAUUGAUUGGGGGUAUUUUGUGAAGUUGCAGUCUUGAGUUGUAAUUUUUUUUCCAGAAAAGAAUACAAAUCACUUCUUGUCUGUAAAAAGAUAUAAAACCUCUUAAAUUUUCUCGCAAACCUAGCAGAUACAUCAUUGUUGACUUGAAACAAGGUCUCUUGUAGCCCUGAUUGGCCUAAGACUUCCCAUGUAGCCCAGGCUGGUCUAGAGCUGAUUGUCCAGUCUCCACCUCCUAAAAGUGCUUUCAGUUCCCGAUAUACACUACCAUGCUCCUUGCAAAUGUGUUUCUGUGUGCAUUUCGGCUGGAUUUGUUCUUAUAAUUCUUUAGAUCAACUGACAUCAGCUCACUAAUGAAUCAGAACAAAUGCCAUUGGCACAUGCUCAUUCUAGACUUGUAAGAGAGCUGUGCUUUUGAAAGUUGUAUAUGUUUUGGAGAUGUGACUCAUCACUUAAGAAGAC